UAAGUUAGAAAGGGCGCACGGUGGAUGCCUUGACACUAGGAGUCGAUGAAGGACGGGACUAACGCCGAUAUGCUUCGGGGAGCUGUAAGUAAGCUUUGAUCCGAAGAUUUCCGAAUGGGGAAACCCACUAUACGUAAUGGUAUGGUAUCCUUAUCUGAAUACAUAGGGUAAGGAAGACAGACCCAGGGAACUGAAACAUCUAAGUACCUGGAGGAAGAGAAAGCAAAUGCGAUUUCCUGAGUAGCGGCGAGCGAAACGGAACAUAGCCCAAACCAAGAGGCUUGCCUCUUGGGGUUGUAGGACAUUCUAUACGGAGUUACAAAGGAACGAGGUAGACGAAGCGACCUGGAAAGGUCCGUCGUAGAGGGUAACAACCCCGUAGUCGAAACUUCGUUCUCUCUUGAAUGUAUCCUGAGUACGGCGGAACACGUGAAAUUCCGUCGGAAUCUGGGAGGACCAUCUCCCAAGGCUAAAUACUCCCUAGUGAUCGAUAGUGAACCAGUACCGUGAGGGAAAGGUGAAAAGCACCCCGGAAGGGGAGUGAAAGAGAUCCUGAAACCGUGUGCCUACAAAUAGUCAGAGCCCGUUAACGGGUGAUGGCGUGCCUUUUGUAGAAUGAACCGGCGAGUUACGAUCCCGUGCGAGGUUAAGCUGAAGAGGCGGAGCCGCAGCGAAAGCGAGUCUGAAUAGGGCGUUUAGUACGUGGUCGUAGACCCGAAACCAGGUGAUCUACCCAUGUCCAGGGUGAAGUUCAGGUAACACUGAAUGGAGGCCCGAACCCACGCACGUUGAAAAGUGCGGGGAUGAGGUGUGGGUAGCGGAGAAAUUCCAAUCGAACCUGGAGAUAGCUGGUUCUCCCCGAAAUAGCUUUAGGGCUAGCCUUAAGUGUAAGAGUCUUGGAGGUAGAGCACUGAUUGGACUAGGGGUCCUCAUCGGAUUACCGAAUUCAGUCAAACUCCGAAUGCCAAUGACUUAUCCUUAGGAGUCAGACUGCGAGUGAUAAGAUCCGUAGUCAAAAGGGAAACAGCCCAGACCGCCAGCUAAGGUCCCAAAGUGUGUAUUAAGUGGAAAAGGAUGUGGAGUUGCUUAGACAACUAGGAUGUUGGCUUAGAAGCAGCCACCAUUUAAAGAGUGCGUAAUAGCUCACUAGUCGAGUGACUCUGCGCCGAAAAUGUACCGGGGCUAAAUACACCACCGAAGCUGCGGAUUGGUACCAAUGGUAUCAGUGGUAGGGGAGCGUUCUAAGGACAGUGAAGUCAGACCGGAAGGACUGGUGGAGUGCUUAGAAGUGAGAAUGCCGGUAUGAGUAGCGAAAGACGGGUGAGAAUCCCGUCCACCGAAUGCCUAAGGUUUCCUGAGGAAGGCUCGUCCGCUCAGGGUUAGUCAGGACCUAAGCCGAGGCCGACAGGCGUAGGCGAUGGACAACAGGUUGAUAUUCCUGUACCACCUCUUUAUCGUUUGAGCAAUGGAGGGACGCAGAAGGAUAGAAGAAGCGUGCGAUUGGUUGUGCACGUCCAAGCAGUUAGGCUGAUAAGUAGGCAAAUCCGCUUAUCGUGAAGGCUGAGCUGUGAUGGGGAAGCUCCUUAUGGAGCGAAGUCUUUGAUUCCCCGCUGCCAAGAAAAGCUUCUAGCGAGAUAAAAGGUGCCUGUACCGCAAACCGACACAGGUAGGCGAGGAGAGAAUCCUAAGGUGUGCGAGAGAACUCUGGUUAAGGAACUCGGCAAAAUGACCCCGUAACUUCGGGAGAAGGGGUGCUUUCUUAACGGAAAGCCGCAGUGAAUAGGCCCAAGCGACUGUUUAGCAAAAACACAGCUCUCUGCGAAGCCGUAAGGCGAAGUAUAGGGGGUGACACCUGCCCGGUGCUGGAAGGUUAAGGAGAGGGGUUAGCGUAAGCGAAGCUCUGAACUGAAGCCCCAGUAAACGGCGGCCGUAACUAUAACGGUCCUAAGGUAGCGAAAUUCCUUGUCGGGUAAGUUCCGACCCGCACGAAAGGUGUAACGAUUUGGGCACUGUCUCAACCAGAGACUCGGUGAAAUUAUAGUACCUGUGAAGAUGCAGGUUACCCGCGACAGGACGGAAAGACCCCGUGGAGCUUUACUGUAGCCUGAUAUUGAAUUUUGGUACAGUUUGUACAGGAUAGGCGGGAGCCUUUGAAACCGGAGCGCUAGCUUCGGUGGAGGCGCUGGUGGGAUACCGCCCUGACUGUAUUGAAAUUCUAACCUACGGGUCUUAUCGACCCGGGAGACAGUGUCAGGUGGGCAGUUUGACUGGGGCGGUCGCCUCCUAAAGUGUAACGGAGGCGCCCAAAGGUUCCCUCAGAAUGGUUGGAAAUCAUUCGUAGAGUGCAAAGGCAUAAGGGAGCUUGACUGCGAGACCUACAAGUCGAGCAGGGACGAAAGUCGGGCUUAGUGAUCCGGUGGUUCCGCAUGGAAGGGCCAUCGCUCAACGGAUAAAAGCUACCCCGGGGAUAACAGGCUUAUCUCCCCCAAGAGUCCACAUCGACGGGGAGGUUUGGCACCUCGAUGUCGGCUCAUCGCAUCCUGGGGCUGUAGUCGGUCCCAAGGGUUGGGCUGUUCGCCCAUUAAAGCGGUACGCGAGCUGGGUUCAGAACGUCGUGAGACAGUUCGGUCCCUAUCCGUCGUGGGCGUAGGAAAUUUGAGAGGAGCUGUCCUUAGUACGAGAGGACCGGGAUGGACGCACCGCUGGUGUACCAGUUGUUCUGCCAAGGGCAUAGCUGGGUAGCUAUGUGCGGAAGGGAUAAGUGCUGAAAGCAUCUAAGCAUGAAGCCCCCCUCAAGAUGAGAUUUCCCAUAGCGUAAGCUAGUAAGAUCCCUGAAAGAUGAUCAGGUUGAUAGGUUCGAGGUGGAAGCAUGGUGACAUGUGGAGCUGACGAAUACUAAUAGAUCGAGGACUUAACCA
rnacentral:rRNA from 1 species